rnacentral:rRNA from 1 species
UAAAGCGAAUAAGGGCGCAUGGUGGAUGCCUAGGCUCUAGGAGGCGAAGAAGGACGUGGUAAGCUGCGAUAAGCUACGGGGAGAUGCAAACGAUCGUUACAUCCGUAGAUUUCCGAAUGGGACAACCCGGCACACUGAAGGUGUGUCACUCAGCAAUGAGAGCCAACGCAGGGAACUGAAACAUCUAAGUACCUGCAGGAAAGGACAUCAACCGAGACUCCGCAAGUAGUGGCGAGCGAACGCGGACCAGGCCAGUGGCAAUGAGGAAUAAAGCCGAACGUUUUGGAAAAGGCGGCCGUAGCGGGUGAUAGCCCCGUACGCGUAGAACACUCAUUGUCCUAGAGUAAGGCGGGACACGUGAAAUCCUGUCUGAACAUGGGGAGACCACUCUCCAAGCCUAAGUACUCGUGCAUGACCGAUAGCGAACAAGUACCGUGAGGGAAAGGUGAAAAGCACCCCGACGAGGGGAGUGAAAUAGCACCUGAAACCGGAUGCCUACAAACAGUCGGAGCCCGCAAGGGUGACGGCGUACCUUUUGUAUAAUGGGUCAACGACUUAGUGUAACAAGCAAGCUUAAGCCGGUAGGUGUAGGCGCAGCGAAAGCGAGUCUGAAUAGGGCGAUUUAGUUAGUUGCAUUAGACCCGAAACCGAGUGAUCUAGCCAUGAGCAGGCUGAAGGUUGGGUAACACCAACUGGAGGGCCGAACCCGUAUCUGUUGCAAUAGAUUGGGAUGACUUGUGGCUAGGGGUGAAAGGCCAAUCAAACUCGGAAAUAGCUGGUUCUCCGCGAAAGAUAUUUAGGUAUCGCCUCGGAUGAAUACCUCAGGGGGUAGAGCACUGGAUGGGCUAGGGGGACUUACCGUCUUACCAAACCCAACCAAACUCCGAAUACCGAGAAGUACUGCGCGGGAGACACACGGCGGGUGCUAACGUCCGUCGUGGAGAGGGAAACAACCCUGACUUACAGCUAAGGCCCCCAAUUCGUGGCUAAGUGUGAAAGGAUGUGGGAAUCCCAAAACAACCAGGAGGUUGGCUUAGAAGCAGCCAUCCUUUAAAGAAAGCGUAACAGCUCACUGGUCUAAAUAAGGGUUCCUGCGCCGAAGAUGUAACGGGGCUCAAGCCAUGAGCCGAAGCUGUGGGCUUGCGUAAGCAAGCGGUAGCGGAGCGUUCCAUAGGCCUGUGAAGGAGCAUGCGUGAGCAACUCUGGAGGUAUUGGAAGUGCGAAUGCUGGCAUGAGUAACGACAAACAGUGUGAAAGACACUGUCGCCGAAAGUCCAAGGGUUCCUGCGUAAAGUUAAUCUUCGCAGGGUUAGCCGGUCCCUAAGGCGAGGCCGAAAGGCGUAGUCGAUGGGAAUGCAGUGAAUAUUCUGCAGCCAGUGGAUGGUGACGAAUCCCGUGUGUUGUCCGACCUUAAUGGAUUGGUCGGGCCUCGAAGGGGUUCCAGGAAAUAGCCUCCACAUUAGACCGUACCCGAAACCGACACAGGUGGACUGGUAGAGUAUACCAAGGCGCUUGAGAGAACUAUGUUGAAGGAACUCGGCAAUUUACCUCCGUAACUUCGGGAUAAGGAGGCCCAUUGCUCGCGCAAGCGGGCAGUGGGGGCACAGACCAGGGGGUGGCAACUGUUUAACAAAAACACAGGGCUCUGCGAAAUCGCAAGAUGACGUAUAGGGUCUGACGCCUGCCCGGUGCCGGAAGGUUAAGAGGAGAGGUGCAAGCUUUGAAUCGAAGCCCCGGUAAACGGCGGCCGUAACAAUAACGGUCCUAAGGUAGCGAAAUUCCUUGUCGGGUAAGUUCCGACCUGCACGAAUGGCGUAACGAUGGCCACACUGUCUCCUCCUGAGACUCAGCGAAGUUGAAAUGUUUGUGAUGAUGCAAUCUCCCCGCGGAAAGACGGAAAGACCCCAUGAACCUUUACUGUAGCUUUACAUUGGACUUUGAACAGAUCUGUGUAGGAUAGGUGGGAGGCUUUGAAGCGGUGCCGCUAGGUGUCGUGGAGCCAACGUUGAAAUACCACCCUGAUCAUUUUGGCGAACUAACCUACACCCGUGAGCCGGGUGGGGGACACUGUCUGGUGGGUAGUUUGACUGGGGCGGUCGCCUCCCAAAGAGUAACGGAGGAGUACGAAGGUGCGCUCAGACCGGUCGGAAAUCGGUCGUAGAGUAUAAAGGCAAAAGCGCGCUUGACUGCGAGACAGACACGUCGAGCAGGUACGAAAGUAGGUCUUAGUGAUCCGGUGGUUCUGUAUGGAAGGGCCAUCGCUCAACGGAUAAAAGGUACUCCGGGGAUAACAGGCUGAUACCGCCCAAGAGUUCAUAUCGACGGCGGUGUUUGGCACCUCGAUGUCGGCUCAUCACAUCCUGGGGCUGGAGCAGGUCCCAAGGGUAUGGCUGUUCGCCAUUUAAAGUGGUACGUGAGCUGGGUUUAAAACGUCGUGAGACAGUUUGGUCCCUAUCUGCCGUGGGUGUACGAAGCUUGAGAGGAUCUGUCCCUAGUACGAGAGGACCGGGAUGGACACACCUCUGGUGGACCUGUCGUGGCGCCAGCUGUGCAGCAGGGUAGCUAAGUGUGGAAUAGAUAACCGCUGAAAGCAUCUAAGCGGGAAACUAACCUCAAAACAAGGUCUCGCUGAGAGCCGUGGUAGACCACCACGUUGAUAGGCCAGGUGUGGAAGCGCUGUGAGGCGUGUAGCUUACUGGUACUAAUAGCUCG